UACCCCUCAAUGGAAAAGGUGUCCUCCCUAGUAGCUCUUAAAAAAAAAAAAGGCAAGCCAGGCGGUGGUGGUGCCUGCCUAUAAUCCCAGCACUCUGGGAGGCAGAGACAGGCGUAUGAAAUAUAGUUUAUAACACGGCUGGGCAGUGCUGUGAAUGUCUGCAUCAUAUAAGGUAUAGUUUAUAACACGGCUGGGCAGUGCUGUGAAUGUCUGUGUCAUACGAGGUAUAGUUUAUAACACGGCUGGGCAGUGCUGUGAAUGUCUGUGUUGUACAAGGUAUAGUUUAUAACACGAAUGGGCAGUGCUGUGAAUGUCUGUGUCGUUUGAGGUCUAGUUUAUAACACGGCUGGGCAGUGCUGUGAAUGUCUGUGUUGUAUGAGGUAUAGUUUAUAACACGGCUGGGCAGUGCUGUGAAUGUCUGCGUCGUACAAGGUAUAGUUUAUAACAUGGCUGGGCAGUGCUGUGAAUGUCUGUGUCGUUUGAGGUCUAGUUUAUAACACGGCUGGGCAGUGCUGUGAAUGUCUGUGUUGUAUGAGGUAUAGUUUAUAACACGGCUGGGCAGUGCUGUGAAUGUCUGUGUCGUAUGAGGUAUAGUUUAUAACACGGCUGGGCAGUGCUGUGAAUGUCUGUGUCGUAUGAGGUAUAGUUUAUAACACGACUGGGCAGUGCUGUGAAUGUCUGUGUCGUAUGAGGUAUAGUUUAUAACACGGCUGGGCAGUGCUGUGAAUGUCUGUGUUGUAUGAGGUAUAGUUUAUAACACGGCUGGGCAGUGCUGUGAAUGUCUGUGUUGUAUGAGGUCUAGUUUAUAACACGGCUGGGCAGUGCUGUGAAUGUCUGUGUUGUAUGAGGUCUAGUUUAUAACACGGCUGGGCAGUGGCCGAUGCUGCAGAGUAGCCAGUGUCGUCUCUCU